GUUACUGAGACGGGUUUGGCCGGACUUUAUGCUUUAUUGAAGUUGAACUGUUGGGGCCAGGAUAAGGAGGAGAUAGAGGGCACUAGGCGUUACACAGAUACUACACAGUGGAUGAAAGCCUAAGUGGGGAGCGCACUCCUGAGGAAGAUUCUCUGGGUCACUCCUCUCAUACUCGUCUAACUCUGGAAAUAUCAGAUAUGGGUGUCCCUUCCAGCUCUUUCUACACCAUCCAAGACCCAGUCCUGGCUGGCCCUGCCUGGGGCUUUGGUGCUCACCAGCGUCUGUGGAAUCCAGACACAGGUGCUGCUGGUUCUCAGGCUUUGGAUUCUGGAUUGGAACUGCACCACCAGCCCGCUUUCCCAGGCCUCCAGCUUGCAGAUGGCAGAUCGUGGAACUUCUUAGCCUCCAUAGUCAUGUAAGCCAACCCCUGAUAAUAGAUCUCUUUUAUAUACAUGGGUAAAUGCCCUAUUGUUUCUGUUUUUUUUUUUAACGUUUUUAAAAAUUUUAUUAUUUUUUAAAAUUUACAUCCAAGU